AAAAUUCUCAAGCACAAAAUGAAAGUCAGGUCAUUAAUGAAACUCAAACACAAACUGAAACCCAAGCACAAAAUCAAGUUCCCACAGUAAGUAUAAUUCAAUUAUAAUUGACAUAUGAACUGAAAAUUGAAAAUUGCAUAUUAACUGAAAAUUGUAUAUGCAUAUGAACUGAAAUUGCAUGAUGGAGGAACCUCUCAAGCUGGGCCUUCUCAGCCUGGGCCAUCUCAGGUUGCUAGACCACCUCAAGCUCGUAGGUGCAGCAGAUGUAAGCAAGUUGGACACAAUUCAAGGAGAUGCAGUCUUCCUGUCAUAACUCAAACUGCUACUUCUCAAGCUGUUCAUGAUGGAGCCUCCCAAGCUGUGCAAUCUCAGGUUGAAGAUGGAGCAAGAACUCAGGUAGAAGGUGUGGCGAAUCUGCCAGGAUCUGGAGCUGCAUCUCAGGUUCAUGGUGGGGAAGAUCUGGCAGCUGCAUCUGCAUCUCAAGCUGUAUGAGGAGGAAUGAUUGAUGUAAUUAGGGCUAAUUACUCUCUGUUUUGUUUUGGUAGCACAUGGGUGCUCUUUUUGAUGUACUUUGCAUAGCACAUGUGUGCUCAUUUUGAUAUACUUUGGACACCAUAUGGGUGGGUUUUUCUGAUGUAGAUGACAUUCAAUGUGGACCACAAGUUGUGAUGUUAUGUUUUUUAUUGCAAGUGGGAUGGACCACUUUUUCC